AUUGAACGCUGGCGGCAGGCUUAACACAUGCAAGUCGAACGAGUGGCGGACGGGUGAGUAAUGCUUGGGAAUCUAGCUUAUGGAGGGGGAUAACUACGGGAAACUGUAGCUAAUACCGCAUAUUAUUCGAGCGGCCGAUGUCUGAUUAGCUGGUUGGCGGGGUAAAGGCCCACCAAGGCGACGAUCGGUAGCGGGUCUGAGAGGAUGAUCCGCCACACUGGGACUGAGACACGGCCCAGACUCCUACGGUAGGCAGCAGUGGGGAAUUUUGGACAAUGGGCGCAAGCCUGAUCCAGCCAUGCCGCGUGUCUGAAGAAGGCCUUCGGGUUGUAAAGCACUUUCAGCGGGGAGGCGUUACCCGCAGAAGAAGCACCGGCUAACUCCGUGCCAGCAGCCGCGGUAAUAC
rnacentral:rRNA from 1 species